rnacentral:rRNA from 1 species
UACAGAGGGGGCGAGCGUUGUUCGGAAUUACUGGGCGUAAAGGGCGCGUAGGCGGCCUGCUAAGUCAUACGUGAAAUCCCUCGGCUCAACCGGGGAACUGCGUGUGAUACUGGCGGGCUUGAAUCCGGGAGAGGAAUGCGGAACUCCAGGUGUAGCGGUGAAAUGCGUAGAUAUCUGGAGGAACACCGGUGGCGAAGGCGGCAUUCUGGACCGGCAUUGACGCUGAGGCGCGAAAGCCAGGGGAGCAAACGGG